ACAGUACCGUUAGAAGCGCGCAGCCAGCAGAUUGAGAACUACCAAAAAAAAAAAAAAGUCGAGAGCCUCGAGCGAACGGCAUUCGAAAGAUUCGUUCUCUUUCUGGCCCCCAUUGUCUUAUGUAAUCAAUUACAAGAGGAACGAUAACGAAGAAAGCACGAAGCGGAGUUCUUACUUUCUCCGCAGAAGUGGGCCAACAGCGGGCAGCGACGCCGGCAGCGGCAGGAGCAGCGCGAUUAACCAACCGAAUGGAAAAGAAGGGAACCAAGACUGUCGUGUAAUUAUGAAACUUUCACGCAAGACCCACUCACACUGCUUUAAUCGCAUCGAUAUCAAGACAAAUGUACUGUUCUCACUGCAACUGCUUUUUUGGGACUCGCGGGCCACUGGAAAAAGUUUAAUUGAAAACCUUUAGCAACAGGUUUUAAACUAUUACUCUAAGA
ensembl:ncRNA lncRNA:CR45730 long non-coding RNA:CR45730